AUCCGCACGCGGUGCGGUUACGGUUGCGGUUGGGAUUUGAUAACCGCGGAUUACCCGCACCGUAGGACAUAUAGGGAAUUUAGUAAAUGUAUUAAGGACAAUAUGGGAAGUUGGAGUUUGAUAUAUAAACAUCUUUAGCUUUCGGUGAAACCUAAUAGCAUCAGUUUUUUUCGAGAGGAAAAGAGACCUAAUAGUCUCAGAGAAGAGACUUCGAUUCUUCUUCUUCUCUGAGUAAAUUAGUUCUCUCAUUCAUCUUCUUCUCAUCACAGAUUCACAGUAAAUAUCCUUCGAUUCAUCUUCUUCUCAUCACAGUAAAUUAGUUCUCUCAUUCAUUCUUCUUCUCUGAGCAGCAUCAGCAUCAGUAACUGUAGAUCCACGGAUUGGAGAGAAGAAUCUUCAGGAGAACAGUAUUUAAAAUCCUUGGGUAGGUGGUGAAGCUUGUAUUAUCAGUGCUACAAUUGUUUGGCAAUCUGACUAAUCCAUAUUGUUGCGAGUAGAAAGCAUUCCCUUGGUAAGGAGAAUCUGAGAGCAGAUGGCUUCAAGUACUAAGGGACCUUCUAUUCCUGUUGACGAUCCUGAUGAGAGCAUGGCUACAGUUAACCCGGCAACCGUCGAGAGCAUAUCUACAGCUACACCAUCAUCUCUGGUUGAAGUUUCAAAGCCUCCGAAAGCUUCUGGUAAGAAGCAAUCAGACUGCUGGCAACAUUUUGAUAAGCGCCUUGAUCUUAAGCCACCUAAAGUUCAGUGCAAGCAUUGUAAAAGGAAGUUUUCAUGGGGUAAAGACGAUAUAGGGGGUUCUAACUCUCAUGGAACAACAAACAUGAACAACCAUAUAAAGCAAAGAAGGUGUCCUAACUACACUCCACCUGGACAACAACAGUUAGCCUUUCAAGUAAGUGAUAAUGGUGAGACUCGUUCCGUUGUGAAUCACUCGUUUGACCAAGAUGCAUGCAGAGCAGCCCUCACCAGAAUGAUCAUCAAAGAUGAAUUACCU